UUGGCCUCGAAUCAGGUGGGACUACCCGCUGAACUUAAGCAUAUCAAUAAGCGGAGGAAAAGAAACUAACAAGGAUUCCCCUAGUAACGGCGAGUGAAGCGGGAAAAGCUCAAAUUUUAAAUCUGGCGGCCCUUGGUUGUCCGAAUUGUAAUCUAGAGAAGUGUUUUCCGUGCUGGACUGUGUACAAGUUUCCUGGAUACGGAACAUCAUAGAGGGUGAGAAUCCCGUCCUUGACACAGGUUCCCAGUGCUAUGUGAUGCGCUCUCGACGAGUCGAGUUGUUUGGGAUUGCAGCUCAAAAUGGGAGGUAAUUUCCUUCUAAAGCUAAAUAU
rnacentral:rRNA from 1 species